rnacentral:tRNA from 1 species
GGCGGCAUGGCCGAGUGGUAGGCGGGGGACUGCAAAUCCUUUUUCCCCAGUUCAAAUCCGGGUGCCGCUC